UAAGUAUUCCGCCUGGGGAGUACGGUCGCAAGAUUAAAACUCAAAGGAAUUGACGGGGACCCGCACAAGCAGCGGAGCAUGUGGUUUAAUUCGAAGCAACGCGAAGAACCUUACCUAGACUUGACAUCUCCUGAAUUACUCGUAAUGGAGGAAGCCCUUCGGGGCAGGAAGACAGGUGGUGCAUGGUUGUCGUCAGCUCGUGUCGUGAGAUGUUGGGUUAAGUCCCGCAACGAGCGCAACCCUUAUCGUUAGUUGCUACCAUUAAGUUGAGCACUCUAACGAGACUGCCGCGGUUAACGUGGAGGAAGGUGGGGAUGACGUCAAAUCAUCAUGCCCCUUAUGUCUAGGGCUACACACGUGCUACAAUGGCCGGUACAACGAGAUGCAAACCCGUGAGGGGGAGCCAAACUCAAAAGCCGGUCCCAGUUCGGAUUGUAGGCUGAAACUCGCCUACAUGAAGUCGGAGUUGCUAGUAAUCGCGAAUCAGCAUGUCGCGGUGAAUACGUUCCCGGGUCUUGUACACACCGCCCGUCACACCAUGAGAGCCGGUAACACCCGAAGUCCGUGAGGUAACCUUUAUGGAGCCAGCGGCCGAAGGUGGGAUUGGUGAUUGGGGUGAAGUCGUAACAAGGUAGCCGUAGGAGAACCU
rnacentral:ncRNA from 1 species